rnacentral:lncRNA from 1 species
UAUAUGGUGAGAUGUAUAGAUAUAUAGAUCGAUAAUGAUUGCAGGUACAUGUACAUUUGUACAAGGAUAGAUAAUAUUUAUAAAGGUUGAUGUUAAUAACUUAUAGUGGGAGUUUUUUUUCUCAUUUGCUUUUUCCCCGACAAAUGAGACUGUAAAAAUUGGGGCCCCCUUAGUUGCUUCCCUGGGCAACUGAGGGUUGAUGUAACAGG